UAAUAUAAAUAUAGAAAAAGUAAUAUUAUGAAAUCUACUACUAAUCAAACGUAUUCUUCUAACACGACAGUCUGUUGCAUCGUCAAUUUGAACAUAAAAAAUGUGUUUGAAACUUUUUAAAGAACUCCUUAAAAUUAACAUUUUGGUACGAAUUCCUUUUGAAGUUAUGAAAGAAGAAAAUAAGAAAUUAAUUGGAAAAUUAAUUCGGUCCUGAUCCACAUUCAGAUUCAAUUUUUUAAUGUCAAACUGAUGUUAUUGUUGCCAAAAAUAAUUUUAAGAUUCAUUUUUUUAAUGUCAUAUUUACUUUAUACGUGCCAAACAUAAUUUGUAAAUAUGAAUUAUACAUACUGAAGAAAAAAAUAGUUUAGUGGUAUUAUGGAAAAAAUGAUCUACAGGCUGUAAAGGAUUUAUUUUCUGUACAUUUUUCAAAUAGGACAGAACAGUUAUUAAAGACUGUAAAUAUAAAAGGAAGAACUAUCAUUUUCGAAAUGAGUUCCAAACUUACGUUUUUGUAAAUGGGACACCCUGUAUAUAUAUAAUUUUUUAAAUUUUAGUUGCCGUGUUUAUGAGGUUUCUAAAAAAUAUAAUAUAAUCUAUACAUAUUUUCUUAGACAAGGUAAAAAAUGCAAUAUGUAACUUUUUAACGGUUUAAAUUAAGUAAUUACAAUCAACUAAUUUAUUCGACGUCAAAUUUUGGUUAUUGGCUAUUUCACGCUAGUUUCUGUGUACAAAAUUAUUGCAGAAAUGCAUCAAAAAUGUCAACAAAUCGGAUCGACAGUUGUGUUAUCUAAAAGUUGCACAAGUUCAUUUUCAGUGUAAUUUAUUGAGAUAAUACGAUGGAAAGCAAAAUUAUUUGGUUAAAUUAAAUAAAGGGCUCAACUUUCGUUUACUUGAAAUCUGUUAGGUUUACUUCUUGGCAUUUGUGGCCGUGGCUGCAGCGUACGAGCACCAUGUCCCCCAUUAUCAUUUCGAAUAUGGCGUUCACGACCCUCACACUCACGACGUCAAAGACCAGUUCGAGCACCGUAACCAC